AUUGAACGCUGGCGGCAGGCCUAACACAUGCAAGUCGAGCGAGCGGCGGAGGGGGGAGUAAUGUCUGGGAGACCGCGUGAUGGAGGGGGGGAAAAACUGGAGACGGUAGCGAAUACAGCAUACAAUAAGAUAGGACCAGGUGGGAUUAGCUCGUGGGUGGGGUAACGGCUCACCUAGGCGACGAUCACUAGCUGGUGUGAGAGGAGGACCAGCCACACUGGAACUGAGACACGGUCCAGACUCCUACGGGAGGCAGCAGUGGGGAAUUUUGCACAAUGGGGUCAACCCUGAUGCAGCCAUGCCGCGUGUGUGAAGAAGGCCUUCGUGUUGUAAAUCACUUUCAGCGGGUAGGCGUUACCCGCAGAAUAAGCACCGGCUAACUCCGUGCCAGCAGCCGCGGUAAUAC
rnacentral:rRNA from 1 species